UUUUAAAGUAAUAAGUGAUGUUAAAAGUUUACUUAAGGUUGAUAUAGAGGUGAGUGGAGGAAGUAGUGUGUUAGGUGAGAGAGUGAGAAUCAAGGGGUUGGGAGGAGCUCCAGAUGUUGCCUUCACUGUUUUAGUGAUCAGAUCAUAACAAACUUGUUGAUAUAUAAGCCAGCUUCAUCUACCUGCUGUUAUCAGGUGUGUCUCACCAGCCACUCAGCCAGACCUCUAACCAACCAACCAGCCAACCAACACCACCAUGAAGACCCCUGCCACUCUGACCUCCACCCUGCUGGUCUUCAUCUUGGUGAUCGCCCUCGCUGGACACGGGGUGUCGUCCUCCCCCCUCCCGCAGCCCAGCAACCGACAAGAACGCUUUUUUCUUCCGUUUAACUUCAACUUACCAAAAUUUACAACUACCACAGCUGCUCCUGCUGUCGUUGCUCCUGGCAUUACCAUCACGUUUGGCAAGAAAUAAUAAUAACAUGUAUUAUCCCGACAUCAUUUGUCUUGCCACCUCGGUAAAGAUGAAACAGUUAGUUGUUAGUAAUUUACCUGUUUGGUUCAGUUGUUUCCAUAGGUGUUAAUGGAGUGACGUCAGUGUGUGUAUGACUGAACAUUACAAGAGGCUGCUGCUGCCGUGUAGUAACUGGUACUGUAGGCGGGGUUGUUUACACUCCCACAAUUAUCUUAAUAAAACGUAUUGUAGUUAAAAGGAACAAAAUUAUUCAUUAUUCUUACGUCAA